CGAACUGAAAGCGGCAUAAGGAAUAUAUAUGUGUGUGUGUGUGUGUGUGUGUCAUAUUUGAAAAUAAAUUGAGAGGUGAAAUUUGUGGCAGAAUAGAGUCACUCUACAGUGGUCAGGAUCAAAUGCCUGUUAUUAUGACAGAGACAACACGGCUCCACAGCUUAACAUAAAAUAAGAAAUAACAGGUAGAUGAUGGGAGGUGUUGUAUUCCAUUAUCAGAGAGAGAGAGAGAGACAGAAACAAAGGAGCAUCCUUUACCUCCAGUCACCUCAUUGAAAUGUGUGUAGAUAAACCCCCGACUUUCCUUUCUUCCCUCCUUAUGUAUCUGUCGUGAUGACAAACUAUCCAGGUGCAGAGAGAUUACAUAGUUUUCGCUUCUAUCAGUGACAAUAACAGUGUACGUCCUGAGAUUACACUAAAGAAGCGGGGGGCUACAGGUGUAGUCACCAGAGGCAGUCAAACGCUUUGAUAGGUGGUAAACAGACCCACAGGUAAUGAAGGAAAAUUUCAAAUAAACACCAAAAACAUUUAACUUUAAAUGACCUCACAGUUCACAACAUUUGACAAGUACUUUUGAAAUAUGCAUUGUUGUUUCAAAGGAAAUCAUUUAACAGUUAGAAAAAACAAAUUUGCCCAUACUGGUCCUACUUGAGUCCUUAAGAACAAUUGAGCACCACUGUGCGAAUAAGCCUGUGGGUGUAGAACUAAAUGGUCGUUAGGACAAGAACAGAGCACAAACAAACAUGUGGUCAUAAAACACACUAUCACUGUGACACAGUAGUCUCUGAAGCCAUAUUUAAACCAAACUGUGCAGUCGUCUUUGUGUGAUUAGGUCAUUGUGACAUCCAUUGUCAGCUUCCAUUACACUACUACUCUGUCUGUCUAGAAGGUGCAGAGCAUUGGCAGUAUUGUCUCUUGAACUUUCUGACUUAUCCAUCUCUGGCCUCACGGCCUCCGGGGACACAUUAGUCACUUAAUGCUUUGUCAUCACCACAGGUUAAUGGACCUCACAGCAGUCUGUUACAAACAAUCCUGAUCAAUACACAGUGCAUGCAAACAGGGAUAAGUUCCAAAAAUAGAUCGACUUCAUUUUUGUUCAGUUCAGUUUUCUUUUUACAGUGUUGAGUUGCCAAUAUUAGUGAUUUCUGUGUACAAGUGUAUUAAAACUCACGCUGUCAUGUUAUAUAGCCUAGCCUUUAACCACUUUUAUUCACAGCAGACAGGAUAAAGGUUUGUUUGAAUGUGGAGAAAACCAUGUUGGAUCUGCAUCCCUGCUCCCUGUGCUUAACUUCUUUGAUCUUCAAAAAGUAACCAAUUUUGCACUUGUGUAGAGCCAUCAGACAAGUACAAAAGAUCUAGGAAUGUCUUGCUAAUAUUGACAGCUGCUCUCUGAGAUCAGCCAAAUACAUGAUCGUGGCAGAGAGAGUGUGCAUCUGAGAAAGAGUGACAUUCACUGUGUGUUUGCUGUACUCUGCAUGUGUUUAGUAAUUCAUUUUGUAGGUAAUUCAUGUGAAACACAAUAUCUUAAUAAAGAAAGGCUUCUAGGUCCUGGGGGGAAGCAAGGGGCGCUGCAGUCCUUCAGUUGUUGAUAAGCAAGUUGAAAACAUACUUCCUACUUAACCUGCAAACAUUGGCAAAAAAGUAAGUUUAAUUAGAUCAAAUCACUACUUUAAAAAACUGACAUGUAAACAUAACGGGAUCAGUGUUGAGUCAAAUUGUGUUUAUCAGACUUUAAUGUCUUCUAAUGUUUUGACAUUUUACUUCAGGUUCACUCUGUUUAAUUAGUGGCAGCAUGUAUGAAGUAAUAAGGUGGGUAAGAAGUGAUGGGAAUAACGCCGUUAAAAUAAACGACGUUACUAACGGCGUUAUUUUCUUUCAGUAACGGGUUAAUAUUUUCCAACGUUACAACGCCAUUACCGCUACCGAAAAUUAAAUUGGACGCGUUAUAAACCAAAGCUUCUCCUUCUAGCUGUUGUCACUUGACUCUUAGCCACAAGAGCGCUACUUUUCUGUUUUUGUUUUGUUUUUUUUAAGAGGAGUGAGGAACGACACAAAAACACAUUUUAUGAUGAUUGGCUAAAGCAGAGUAAGCUUUCGUGGUAAGCCAAUUAGAGGCAGCAUUUACGCCAAAACAUGUACCGGCUGUGAGCGUACAAAGAUAAGCGGCCGAAAUGGCGAGUCUGAAGAGACAAAUGUCGAUUGCAAGGCGGAAAAACAGGCAGUACUUCAGUCACUUUGAGAGCGAGCCCCUGGCCUGGCUGUAAGCGUCUGGCACUUUUUGCCCAAGUCUGGCUUCAAGUGGGCGCUGAGCUGAGGGUCUGAUGUGAACUUAAUAAAGGGAGGAAGGAAAGGAAGGAAGUGAGAGGAGGCAGGAAGACAAAGUGUUAACACCCUUUUCAACACCAGGGACCUGCUCGAGCAAACCAAGGAGAGGAAACCAACUAAUUCAGACGCUGCAGAGGAAGAAGUACAGAAAUACGCCAGUGAUGCCUGAGAACAUUCUACUGUACUGGACAUUUGCUUUGGUGGAAUAAUGGUAAGUGUUAGUCUUACGCUAGAUUUGCUUGAAUUAAAAAAUGCCAUCACGUUUUGUAGGCGCUCAUACUUUACCUUCAAAGGCUUUUUAUCUUGAAAUGUAGGAAAUGUUGUAACUGAACUGGGAAAAAAGUUUGAAUUACACAUUUUGCCAACUUGCUUUACGGGUGUUGUGUCAACAUUUGUAAAGUGACAUUGUUCUCAUGUAUCCCAGGCAAAGUUAUCACCAGGAGCUAAGGAGCAAGGUGGUAACAUAGGAAGGCAAACAUCCACCAAACAGCAGAGAACAUUUAGAUAUCAGGUUGAAAGUAAAACAUCUGGUAUGUUUUAACACAUGCUGUGUGGUUUUCACUAUUGUGGGGACAGUUUUGAUGAGUUCACAGUGAGGAGUUGGAAUCUGUGAGAAAGAAAAAUUCUUCCUAAUCAUAACUGUUUCUGUGCUGAAACAUGUUUUGCAAACACUUUUAGUUCAGAACAGACGUUCAUCCAGAUCUCUGGGUUGAAGAGAAAUAAAAAAAUACAACUGUAACCUAUGACACUGACGGCUCCGAAGCUUUUUUCAAAUAAACAAGACUGAUAUUUUGCAGAGUUAAAAAUGUCUUCCGUCACUAUUAUAUUUACUUUAAAAAACACUAUAAAUAUCUUUACUUAUCAAACCGAUCCAUGUCUGUUUGUGCUUUAGUGCGUACAUGCACGAGGGUCUACCUAAGCUUGAAUGUAACCAAGGCCUUGAAUAUUUAUAUAUUUGUGAGCUACGGCUGAGAGGUGUUGGUGGUGCUCAGCAGGAGGAGACGGGGGGGCAGGGGGAAGAUAGAGGGGAAAGAGAGAGUCCCUCAGGCGUGUCCGGGCCCUGAUGGCUCCCCUGACAACCUCCUCUGUAAUGGUCUCCCUCUCUUUCUGAGUGCUGUGAAAUUGCAGUCCGGCGCUCUACAGCUGAGGACUCAGAGGAGACAAACGGCCUUUUAAUUCAGAGCGCAAAGAGGUGACGGAGAGGAAGGCCCUAGGGGAGGGCUACCAAUCAGACAUCCAUCACACUAACCUCUCCCCUGGGACUGGCCCUGCCAAAGAGGGGCCCUGGAGGUGGUCUUGAGCAUACAUGUGUGUGAGCGUAUAUGCCUGUGUGCAAGUCUUCAGUGCUGGGGUGACACCACAUGCGUGGAAUCGUGGCUGCAGGGGAGGCAGGAGGUGGACCAGGAGGAGGAGGAGGAGGAGGAGGAGCUGGGACUGCUCAGGUGUCCGGGCUGUCACGGCACAGAGUGGGGAAAAAGUGAAAGGGUGACGAUGACGUUGAGCCUGGUUCAUGGGGGAGUCGUAGAUUAUUUGUUAGGUAUAAAUUCAAGCCGUAGUUCAUCUGUAUCCAUCAGCACCGUUUGUGUUUAUCAUGUAUAAUUGUACUGACGAAUAUAUAUUUCAAAUCAAUUAUAGAACACACUGAUGUCACUCUCUGCCUCCUCAUGUUGUACAGGAGAAACUGAAACUGAAAGAGUGAAUAUUUUAGGUGGUGGUUUCGGUAGAAAAAGAGCGAAGGGAGUGAGAGAGGCAGAAAGAGAGAAAGAGACAGAGAAAGACAGUGAGAGAGAGAGAGUGAGAGUGACAGUCCUGUAAACAUUAAUAAACUCUGCAAUGCUUAAACCAGGGUCCUUGAUGAUUUCAGUAUGUUUGCUGUGUUUUGUCUCUAUGUAAUUGCAGUUUCCCAAUGAUACAGGUGUCAUAUAUAAUGUAUAUAAAAGUACAUAUAUGUUUGUUUAAUUCAGAUGAGGAUCUGUGUGUGUUCCAAAUGAGCGAUCCUUUCAAAAGUGUUUCUCU